rnacentral:lncRNA from 10 species
CCAUGCCCGGCCUGUGUUCUAAUUUCUUAAACUAUCAAUGAACAUAUAUUUUCUAAUCAUAAGAUUAAAAAUUAUAGGACUAUACAUUCUCUUAAUAAUUAAGGGCAUAAUUAUUUCCUGAAAAGCUAAUUAUAAGCUCUUACAGAUUAUAGGUUAAUUUGGGAUUAUUUUCCUCUUUUUAAAAUAUGUGUACUUUUGCUCUCUGUCUUUGCCAAUAUUUACUUUUGAUCUUUGUUUUUGCCUUUAUUUACUUUUGCUCUGUUUAAAACAGGCCAUUCAGAAAGGCAAUAAGCAAGCUCUAAGAAUACAUGCUGAAAAUACAAUCCACCAGAAAAAGCAAGCAAUUGAUUUCUUAAGAGUGAGUGCUAGAGUUGAUGCUGUGGCAGCCAGAGUUCAAAAUGCAGUAACAAUGGGCAGGGUAACAAGUCCAUAUGAGGCAUAGUUAAGUCUGUGGGUGCUUCAUUGAGGAGUAGAACCUUGAAAAGACUUCAGCCUUGAUGAACAAAUUCGAACACCAGUUUGAAAUAUUGGAUAUUCAAACACAACAAAUGGAGGAUAAAAUGAGUAACUCUACAACCCUAACAACACCACAAAACCAAAUGGAUAUGCUGCUUCAGGAAAUGCCAGAUGAAGCUAGAUCAGGGCCACAGGACAUAAGUCUACAUGCUUUCCUGAGAAAAAAACGAAUGUUUGUUGGGUGCUUACUGUGUACAGGUGUGUCACAAACUUUUGUGUCGUAAUUCUCCUAACAAUCCCACAAGGUAAGAUAUUAUUCCCUCUUUAUAAUAGGCUGGACCUGAGGUUCAUAACAAUACAGUGUUCUCAGACGUAGAGAUUGAAAAAGGCUGAAUUUAAAACCAAGUCUGUUUGGAUCCAAAGCCCAUAAUGUUUACACUCUGCCAAAUUGUCUCUGAAAGAGAGGCGUCUGCCAAAUUCGCUAAUGGAGAUUUAUUCUGCAGGACAGUUUGGAUUUUAGGUAGUAAUAGCAGCUACCUUUUUUCCCCAGCAUUUCUUAUGUACUGAACACUGUGUUAAGCAGUUACUAAAUGUUAUUGCUAAUCACAAUUCUGGUGAUGGUAUUAUUGCUUACCCUUUUUUACGCAUGAGGAAACUAAACUUUAGAAAAAUUAAGCAACUUGACUAUGAUGAAGACUUAGUACAUAGCCCAGCCCUUAUUGGAGCCUUGGCUCUUAAUCAUUAGAUGUACUGUUUCCCAUUUGAAGGCCUCAGAAAACAGCAAUACUUAAACACUCACUACCAGUAGAAUUUGAGGCAUAAUGGCCAGGUUUAUAAGAUUUUUUUUUAAGUGAGAGAUUGUAAUGCUUCUAUUUAUAGGGUGAUCUCUGUCUGAGGUUCUCUUCUUUGUGGAGAUAAACAUAUAAGAAACGCUGUCUGUUACCCACCACGGCAACCCCAAUCUUUAAGCCCCAGUGCAACUAUGAAAUGACUUGAUACCCACCUUAUGCAGGGAUGUUAAUCUCCUCAUUACAGUCCUUUGCUUUUUCUCCUGGAGCAAAUAGUGCUGGAUAACCAUGGGUGCUGGGUCUGACCAGUUAGGAGUCACUGCUUUUCUGAGGAUGGCAGACUGUUAGGGUCUUUGGGGUCGAACACACAGUUUUAUUGUUUUAAGCCUUCUCUGCAUGAGCAGGCUCUGCUCAUGUAAAUUACUACUGAGAGGUGGGGGCUGAGGGUUGCCAUUACUAGGGCAAAUACAUCAAGAGCCUGUAAGUUAACUGCUUCUCUACAGUAGAAUGAUUCAAAGAGAAGUGGCCUCAGAUCAUUUAAAGUCCUUGGAGUAUUUGCUAUUGACUGAGCUAUCAUUUUCUGCUUAUGACGUGGAGCUAUGCUAGUGUAGACCAGCGUCUUAGUGUCCUGAAGGGUCUCGAGUACUUGUAAAUCUUCCACUGAAAGCAGCUCACUAGGAGGGAACAGCAGUGGGCCACUCAGGGUCCUCCAAGAAGCCUCCAAUGUAUACAUCCCUACAAAAUGUUACUGUUUCUUCUCUGGCUCUUGGGCUAUCCCCUCUGAACAGGAGAGGAGGAAGCAGUGGCAGCCAGCUUCCUUGGUGACUUCUUUCCUCCCUAUGACUACCCAGAAAAUGGUGUUAUUUGUGACUAUCCAGGCCUCCUACUC